rnacentral:rRNA from 1 species
CAGCCGCCGCGGGAAUACGUAGGGUGCAAGCGUUAAUCGGAAUUACUGGGCGUAAAGCGUGCGCAGGCGGUUAUAUAAGACAGAUGUGAAAUCCCCGGGCUCAACCUGGGAACUGCAUUUGUGACUGUAUAGCUAGAGUACGGCAGAGGGGGAUGGAAUUCCGCGUGUAGCAGUGAAAUGCGUAGAUAUGCUGAGGAACACCGAUGGCGAAGGCAAUCCCCUGGGCCUGUACUGACGCUCAUGCACGAAAGCGUGGGGAGCAAACAGGAUUAGAUACCCCUGUAGUCCCUGUCUCUUAUAC